rnacentral:rRNA from 1 species
AUUGAACGCUGGCGGAAUGCUUUACACAUGCAAGUCGAGCGGCAGCGCGGCCUUCGGGCUGGCGGCGAGCGGCGAACGGGUGAGUAAUGCAUCGGAACAUGCCCAGUCGUGGGGGAUAACACUUCGAAAGAAGUGCUAAUACCGCAUACGUCCUGAGGGGGAAAGCGGGGGAUCGCAAGACCUCGCGCGAUUGGAGUGGCCGAUGUCAGAUUAGCUAGUUGGUGGGGUAAAGGCCUACCAAGGCGACGAUCUGUAGCUGGUCUGAGAGGAUGAUCAGCCACACUGGGACUGAGACACGGCCCAGACUCCUACGGGAGGCAGCAGUAGGGAAUUUUGGACAAUGGGGGCAACCCUGAUCCAGCCAUGCCGCGUGAGUGAAGAAGGCCUUCGGGUUGUAAAGCUCUUUCGGCAGGAACGAAACGGUGGGCUCUAACAUAGUCCGCUAAUGACGGUACCUGAAGAAGAAGCACCGGCUAACUACGUG